CCCGCGACGGGCGAAGGCAUUUGGGAAGCCAGGGCGGCUGCGGUGGCGAUCUCCCUGACCCAGGGCCGGAGUUGCCCGGAGCCUGCCGCCGCUCUCAGCCAGCCCGCAUCCUUCUCUGUCCUUCCCUCCCCCCGCCUGCCACGGCGCGGGUAUCCGCAGCCACAGCCCGGGGCCGGUGAGGCGGCGAAGGGGGAGGGGAGGAAUCAAGGGAUGAGCGCCGGAAGGGCGUCGGGGGCCCUGAGCCGCACUAGGACGCCCCUGGAGCCGGAACCCCAGCAGAAGCCGGAACCAGAACCAAAUCACCGCUGCAGCCCCCUAAACCCAGGAGGCGCCCUGGCCCGCGCUCGCCCCCCAGGGCCUCAUGUCGGAACCACAGCCUGACCUGGAACCGCCCCAACAUGGGCUGUAUAUGCUCUUCCUGCUUGUGCUGGUCUUCUUCCUCAUGGGCCUGGUAGGCUUCAUGAUCUGCCACGUGCUCAAGAAGAAGGGCUACCGCUGCCGCACGUCGAGGGGCUCUGAGCCUGACGAUGCCCAGCUUCAGCCCCCUGAGGACGAUGACAUGAAUGAGGACACAGUAGAGAGGAUUGUUCGCUGCAUCAUCCAAAAUGAAGCCAAUGCUGAGGCCUUGAAGGAGAUGCUGGGGGACAGUGAAGGAGAAGGGACAGUGCAGCUGUCCAGUGUGGAUGCCACCUCCAGCCUGCAGGACGGAGCCCCCUCCCAUCAUCACACAGUGCACCUGGGCUCUGCAGCCCCUUGCAUCCAUUGCAGCCGCAGCAAGAGGCCUCCACUUGUCCGUCAGGGACGCUCCAAGGAAGGAAAAAGCCGCCCCCGGACAGGGGAGACC
rnacentral:sRNA from 1 species